rnacentral:rRNA from 1 species
GUCGAACGGACUCAUAUUGAAACCUAGUGAUUUAUGAGUUAGUGGCGGCACGGGUGAGUAACGCGUGGAUAACCUGCCGUAUACCGGGGGAUAACACUUAGAAAUAGGUGCUAAUACCGCAUAAGCGCACGGCUCCGCAUGGGGCAGUGUGAAAAACUCCGGUGGUAUACGAUGGAUCCGCGUCUGAUUAGCUAGUUGGCGGGGUAACGGCCCACCAAGGCAGCGAUCAGUAGCCGGCCUGAGAGGGUGGACGGCCACAUUGGGACUGAGACACGGCCCAAACUCCUACGGGAGGCAGCAGUGGGGAAUAUUGCACAAUGGGGGAAACCCUGAUGCAGCGACGCCGCGUGAGUGAAGAAGUAUCUCGGUACGUAAAGCUCUAUCAGCAGGGAAGAAAAUGACGGUACCUGACCAAGAAGCCCCGGCUAACUACGUGCCAGCAGCCGCGGUAAUACGUAGGGGGCAAGCGUUAUCCGGAUUUACUGGGUGUAAAGGGAGCGUAGACGGCAGCACAAGUCUGGAGUGAAAUCCCGGGGCUUAACCCCGGAACUGCUUUGGAAACUGUGCGGCUGGAGUGCAGGAGGGGUAAGCGGAAUUCCUAGUGUAGCGGUGAAAUGCGUAGAUAUUAGGAGGAACACCGGUGGCGAAGGCGGCUUACUGGACUGUAACUGACGUUGAGGCUCGAAAGCGUGGGGAGCAAACAGGAUUAGAUACCCUGGUAGUCCACGCCGUAAACGAUGAUUACUAGGUGUCGGGGGACCAAGGUCCUCCGGUGCCGGCGCAAACGCAUUAAGUAAUCCACCUGGGGAGUACGU